CCUGACUGUGCGAAGGUAGCAUAAUAAUUUGUCUUUUAAUUGGAGAAUGGAAUGAAUGAUUUGACGAAGAUAUAGCUGUCUUAUAUAUAUUUAUUAGAAGUUAAUUUUUAGGUUAAAAAGCCUAAAUAAGAUUAAAGGACGAGAAGACCCUGUUAAGCUUUGAAGGAAUUUAUUAAUUGUCACUAUAAUAUAAAAUGUAGUAUUAAUAAUGAAAUUUUAGUUGGGGCGACUUGGGAGCAAAAUGAACCUCCUUAAGCUUAGUAAANUUUCAUAUAAGGUCCAAAGGAUUUUGAGUUGAGAACAAGUUACUGCAGGGAUAACAGCGUAAUUUUACUUGAGAGUUCUAAUCGAAAGUAAAGCUUGCGACCUCGAUGUUGGAUUAGGAAAUAAUAAAGGUUGUAGAAGCUUUUAUGUUUAGUCUGUUCGACUAAUAAUAUCCUACAUGAUCUGAGUUCAAACCGGA
rnacentral:rRNA from 1 species